UUGGCUGCAAGGAUGACCUUGAGCUUUUCAGGUGUGCACCACAACACCCCAUCUAUGUGGUGCUGGGACAGACCCAGGACCUUGCCCCUGCUAGGCAAGCAUUCUACUCACUGAACUGCUUCUCCGGCCCCAGACCUCCCACUGCCUGACUGGAUGGCUUUGCUUCCAAUUUGCCUAAAUCCUUCUAUUCUAUGCAGCGUUGAUGAUAAUUUCUACUCUUUCUAAUAUUUUCUCCUCUAUUUGAACAAUGAAAAAUAAUCUCACUCAUCUUUCAGAUCCUAUUCCAAAUGUCGUUUCUCCCACAAAGCCUUUCUUCUAGCCAUUUAGCUUCCACUGCUUGAAUGAUGCAUGUUCACUGUCAAAAAAUGUAGAGGACCAAGAACACAGGAGGGAAAAGGGAGACAACGUUAUGGUUAACUCUGGCAUGGGCGACCCCUGCUCCUGGGAUAUGUAGUCCUUCAUCCCAGAGUUUCCUUUCCUAGAGGAUAUGCAUUUUAACAAAGUCACCACUGUCCUAUUAUCUAUGUUAUAUUAUAACCAAUUUUCUUUUCACUUAAAAUGUCUUGAACAUUUUUCUGUUCAUUAAGUAUUUCAUUUAGGGAUAUGGCAGUAUCGUGGGUAAUAGCAAAAAUCUGGAAACAACACAAUUAUCUUGUUGAAGGAUGGAAUAAACGAAAGUUGCCAAAGCCCGCAUGAUCAAAUAUUCAGUGACUAUUAAAACAACUAUCAUAUAUCUGUGCUUUGCUAAUGUGGAAAGUAUCUGAGCCAAAUUGUUAAAAAUUGAAAGCAAAGUGCCAGAUGAGGGGGUAUACUGUGACACCCACAAUUUGAAUAAAAAUAAGUCUGCAAUAGUUCCAUGCUUGUGUAUGUGCUUUACAACACAGGCCUUUCUGUAAGCAUACUGGGAAUUCUUUAGGUAAAGGUACUGUCUUUGGAUAGAGGGAUAUUUUGAGUAUUUAGCAUGAAGGUAGUGGGGACUCUGGGGUAGGAAAAAGAUAUUUCAUUGACAUUUUGAGGGGUUUGGACAUUUUAAACAUCUGUGUUUUAUGGACAUUUCCAUAUAAUUGUAUUAAAUAUUUGUCUACAGUGUAAUCUUUGAUGGCUACAUACAUUCUAGUGAAUAAUUGCACUAUAAUGUAUGGGAUCAUGUCUCAAUUGAUGAGGAUAUAGGCUACUUCAAGUUUGGGGCUAUCCUACACCAUACAGAAGUAGCCUUUUUGUAGCUCUCACUAAAUUACCCCCAAGAGACUUUGCGCUCUUUCAUUUUUUUGACUGAGAUCUUCCAGUGAAUGUGAUUGCUUAUGACUUUGAAUUCCCAUACAACUUCAUUUGCAUAUCUGUGCUGGGGUUUCUUCCACCAUCAGAGGAGAGCAGCAGAUGCACAUCUUACAUCCCUGGGUCCUUAUUGCAUCUCUAGCUAUCAAAAUGAUAAUGUUAGACACUUUAGACACUUGGAAAUGUCAGAGACGGUGACUGCCGGACUUGCUUCCUUUCCUGCUUCAACACAGAGCUGCAGUGAAUCAUUUUACACAGUGAGUGAACAUCUUUCUACAAUGAUGGUAAUGCAAUUUAGCCAGCUGAAUGUCCUGAGAUAGCCCUGUUUGUAGACCACUAUAAACCACACUCUGUAGACCCUCAUGAAAUAACAACAUCUUGAACAAUUGAGCUAAGGCAAUUUUACACACAUAUAAAAAUACUUCUAUAUAAAUAUAUACCAUAAAGUUGUGUAACCAAGCCACAGAACUGAGCCAUAUUGACUGCUUCUGGCUUCCUCAUUAAUAAUUAGUUGCCCCUCGUCAUUUAUUUUUCUCCUAUUGGCUCCUGGCGGCAGACAAUUAGCAGUCAGUGCUGAGGUAAGAAACACUGAUGAGUUUUGUCAUGUGGGAAAUUACCUUGAUGCAAAUAGCCUCUGCAUAGACCACGAGCGAGGUGAGCUAUCCCAGAGGUUAUGGAUCACAAAUUAAGAGGCCUGAGUUACAUGGUUUAUUGAAUCAAUUAAAAACACACAGUGGGAAGUAAGGGGAGGGAGGUGGAGUACAUCCACGUAGCAAUGAGCUAGAAGAACAAUUCUGCAUGAAUCCUAAUCAGCCGCCAGCCUCCCUCUUCCCCCUCCCUCUUCCUCCCUGCCUUCUCCAUCUCCCUGCACCUUCUCCUUUCCCCACGCUCUCUCUCAUUAGCCUUCCCUGCAAUGGUGGAGCAGUGAGGACCGGAAUUAAGGUUGGGAGCAAGGAGACUCCUUCGUAGAGAUGCAGCACACGUACAUUCUGUAACCAGCCUGGUAGGAGUGAUGAUGUUCUAAAAGGAUACUUGUGCCCUUCUCUUUGGCGAUCAGACUGUUGAGACAAUGGACCCGAAAGGAACAGUGAUUCUCCCAGGAAUCUCUUGCUGGGAGAAGGAGAAGACUGCGAGGAGCCUGGUGCCUGCCAGAGCAGAGCAGAGCGGUCUCCCAGAAAGAGAUUCAUAACUUGCCAGAUAAUUGUGGGAGAAACUGGAGCUCGGACAAAGAUGGGACCACCCCGGACCAGGACUAUUUAGCUGUGCAUGCCUCUUUGCUUCUAUUUAAACCUAAACCGUAUGCCAGGACCCUGAUGAUGAGCUUGAAGGGGUCCCUGGGCCUCUGUUCCUUUUCCCAACAUGGCCACGGUGGUCCAGGCUGACUUGUCCUAGCUGUCAACCAUAACAAAUGGCUCUUAAGUUACUUGUUGACUAUACAAGACAUAAGUUGUGAACUUUGUAUUUUCCAUUGCUGCCUCCGUCUUCUGUAGUGCUAAAUAUUCUUAAAUAAAUAAAUGGCCACUGCCAGUUUAAAACCUAA